GCUCUAUCCACCGUGCCACCUAACUGCCCCCCCAAUUAUCAUGACUCUUGAUGAUUGACUUAGCAGAAUAUUUAAUAGAGUAGCACAAAUAUACCAGAAAGAUUAGGGAGGAACGGAAUGUUCCUUUCUUCUGGUACAAUGUAUUCCUCGCCCUACCCUCCUAAUUUCAUAUUUAACAACUGAUUAUUUUAUAGCUAUGUCUCUCUCUUUUAUUCUCUCUUAACACGCCAUAGUUAACAUCUGAUACCUUCUAACCAUUUGAAUGGGAGUUAAGAUUUGUAGAAGAAGCUGCUCCUCUACCUAGAUCACUAGUAUAAGAUUAUUCUCCAAAGAGAUCACAGGAUUGAAGGAACAACUUUUCAUUAUAGUCUGGGGGUAGGAUAUGCGAUUUAAUACUAUGGAACCCUAAUAGUCAAGUGGAGUAAAUUGAAGAGUUAGCUUUAAGGUUAGAUUCCCUUCCUUAUAUAUUGACUGCUUUUACUGAUAAAGUUUGCAGUAGGAAACAUUUUCCUACUUGGAGGUGGACAUUAGGUAUAGGCUAGAGUUCUAUCUAGCUUAAGAUUAUGUGACCUGGUUUGAGGGAAAGAGUAGGCAGGGUCUCAGGAUUUGCCCUCUUGACUUUUCCUUCCCCCCUGCCACUUCUUCUUGACCAAUAGAAUCAUGACAUCCUAGUACUAUUUAUCCUCUUCUACCAACAUUUGCAAGAGCUCUCUCUUAGCCCCAUUCCCUCUUUUCCCCCCACAUUGUUGAGCUUCUCUUUUUUUCUUUCUCUUUCUGCUUAGAGUUGACAAGUUCAUGUGGCCAUGUUCGGGCAGACCCACCUGGGCCAAGUAUAAAGGGCACAUGUAUACCUUCCUUUGUCUACUCCUGGUGCAACUUCUACACCACCCUCCUGAUACCCCCAUACUAUGGAGCCAAGGGACAGGACAGUUUCUUGUACAUUCAGGUGGCUUCUUUUAGCAAAUACUUCCAAGCUUCCUGCAGAGGCUGUGUUGGAUUGGAG
rnacentral:lncRNA from 1 species